rnacentral:tRNA from 1 species
GCGGAAGUGGCUCAGUGGUAGAGCAUCGCGUUGCCAACGCGAGGGUCGCGAGUUCGAAUCUCGUCUUCCGCUCCA